ensembl:lncRNA
CCUGAGGCCCCACCGCAUCAUUUUUGAUGCGGUGAUGGUGUUUGUAAGCUAAUCCGUAAUUUAGGUCCUUAGCUAGCUAGGUAGCUAGCUAAGAUGAGCACUCGGCUGUCGGGGAAACUUCUUUUGUAAAGUUCGUUUAGCUAGCCCGUGCAGGUGAAUGAAUUUACCCUGACUAAAGAAAUCAAGAGAAACGCACCGGGCUGCUCAAUGACUAACCACGGUUACUGUACUUUUAUUAUGAGUAUUAUACUGUAAGAGCAACAGGCUGGACUCUGCUUCUGCUCCUGUGCAGAGCUGAUUAUUAAAUAUGUGCAAACAGCAGCAUGUUUUCUGUCGCUUUCCACAUGUGGAAGGACAUUAACGCCAACUUUUAAAUUCCCCUCUGAAACCAACUACUUCCGCUUGUCAGCUUAAGUUAAAAUGUUAAAUUUUUCCCCUGAUUAUUUUUUUAGCUUUUUUUUUUUUUUUUUACUGAGUUUGUUACAAAUAUUCAGGUUAAUCUGUCCAAAUUAUUUUUAAUGAAUUAUGUUCACAAAGUCACAUGUGCAGUACUCUGUACAGCUUGCAUCCUUUAGGACAAAUAAUUUGAAACAUUAAUAUUUCUUGUUCAAUACUGAGCUGAUAACACCUCUGUAUGUUGUGACCAGGAUGCAGCAGCAGACUGAACAAGAACUGAAACCUGCUCCAUCAUCUCAUCUUUGCAGAUGUCCAUUUAUAAAGCAUCAACAACUCAAAGGAAGAAUUAAAUGAAGUUGCUUAGGCCUGGAAUGACCACAGUCCACAACUCCCAAAGUCCUCAUAGCGACCAUCUUUUAUGUAUGCCCUCCCAGACAUUUAUGGCGCGAGGGACUGUCUCAAACAUGUCAAUAUGGACAAAGUUGAAGCCUGCCUUGAAGAAUGCGUGUUCAAAGACUUUCCAUGUGAAGAGGAUGUCUUUCAUCUCUGUGUAGAACUCAUGUCAGAACAUAACCUGGACUUCUCAGAUGAUGUGUUUCAUACAGUGGAUCUG